CUGAUAUGAAGAGCUUGCUCGGAUUUGAAGAUGAACAUUGCAAAGAGUGGCGAACGGGUGAGUAACACGUGGGAAACCUACCUCUUAGCGGGGGAUAACACUUGGAAACAAGUGCUAAUACCGCAUAAUACUGAUAACCGCAUGGUUAUCAGUUGAAAGAUGGUUCUGCUAUCACUAAGAGAUGGUCCCGCGGUGUAUUAGCUAGUUGGUAAGGUAAUGGCUUACCAAGGCAAUGAUACAUAGCCGAGUUGAGAGACUGAUCGGCCACAAUGGGACUGAGACACGGCCCAUACUCCUACGGGAGGCAGCAGUAGGGAAUCUUCCACAAUGGACGAAAGUCUGAUGGAGCAACGCCGCGUGUGUGAUGAAGGGUUUCGGCUCGUAAAACACUGUUGUAAGAGAAGAAUGACAUUGAGAGUAACUGUUCAGUGUGUGACGGUAUCUUACCAGAAAGGAACGGCUAAAUACGUGCCAGCAGCCGCGGUAAUACGUAUGUUCCAAGCGUUAUCCGGAUUUAUUGGGCGUAAAGCGAGCGCAGACGGUUGUUUAAGUCUGAAGUGAAAGCCCACAGCUUAACUGUGGAAGUGCUUUGGAAACUGGAUAACUUGAGUGCAGUAGAGGAGAGUGGA
rnacentral:rRNA from 1 species